UGCAGCAAAGCCCAACCAACCCUCACCCACUCUGGUUUAUGCUUGCACCAUUAGGGAAAGUCAACUAAGCCUGGCGUUUCCCUGAUCUAGCUCACGUGAGGCCCACAGGUGUUGUAGCCCUGCCUGGUGGGGGUUAU